rnacentral:rRNA from 1 species
ACACUCCUGCGGGAGGCAGCAGUGGGGAAUUUUGGACAAUGGGGGCAACCCUGAUCCAGCAAUGCCGCGUGAGUGAAGAAGGCCUUCGGGUUGUAAAGCUCUUUUGUCAGGGAAGAAACGGUAGUAGCGAAUAACUAUUACUAAUGACGGUACCUGAAGAAUAAGCACCGGCUAACUACGUGCCAGCAGCCGCGGUAAUACGUAGGGUGCAAGCGUUAAUCGGAAUUACUGGGCGUAAAGCGUGCGCAGGCGGUUGUGUAAGUCAGAUGUGAAAUCCCCGGGCUCAACCUGGGAAUUGCAUUUGAGACUGCACGGCUAGAGUGUGUCAGAGGGGGGUAGAAUUCCACGUGUAGCAGUGAAAUGCGUAGAUAUGUGGAGGAAUACCGAUGGCGAAGGCAGCCCCCUGGGAUAACACUGACGCUCAUGCACGAAAGCGUGGGGAGCAAACAGGAUUAGAAACCCCUGUAGUCCCAU